rnacentral:rRNA from 1 species
GAUGAACGCUGGCGGCGUGCCUAAUACAUGCAAGUCGAGCGAACGGACGAGAAGCUUGCUUCUCUGAUGUUAGCGGCGGACGGGUGAGUAACACGUGGAUAACCUACCUAUAAGACUGGGAUAACUUCGGGAAACCGGAGCUAAUACCGGAUAAUAUUUUGAACCGCAUGGUUCAAAAGUGAAAGACGGUCUUGCUGUCACUUAUAGAUGGAUCCGCGCUGCAUUAGCUAGUUGGUAAGGUAACGGCUUACCAAGGCAACGAUGCAUAGCCGACCUGAGAGGGUGAUCGGCCAAACAGGAACUGAGAACCGGUCCAGACUCCUAGGGGAGGCAGCAGGAGGGAACCUUCCGCAAGGGGGGAAAGCCUGACGGAGCAACGCCGGGGGGGUGAUGAAGGGUUUCGGAUCGUAAAACCCUUUUUUUAGGGAAGAAAAAAUGUGUAAGUAACGGUGCACAUUUUGACGGUACCAAAUAAAAAAGCCCCGGCUAACUACGU